CUCGGUGGUUGGAGCGGCGUGGAACUACCCUUUCCCAUUCCGAACAAGGAAGUAAAACGCGCCAGCGCCUACGAUACUUUUUGCUUUUGCAAGAGGGACAAUAGGUCAUCGCCGAGC
rnacentral:rRNA from 1 species